AACGAACGCUGGCGGCAGGCCUAACACAUGCAAGUCGAACGCCCGUAGCAAUACGGGAGUGGCAGACGGGUGAGUAACGCGUGGGAACGUGCCCUUCGGUUCGGAAUAACUCAGGGAAACUUGAGCUAAUACCGGAUACGUCCGUAAGGAGAAAGAUUUAUCGCCGAAGGAUCGGCCCGCGUCGGAUUAGCUAGUUGGUGAGGUAACGGCCCACCAAGGCGACGAUCCGUAGCUGGUCUGAGAGGANGAUCAGCCACACUGGGACUGAGACACGGCCCAGACUCCUACGGGAGGCAGCAGUGGGGAAUAUUGGACAAUGGGCGCAAGCCUGAUCCAGCGAUGCCGCGUGUGUGAAGAAGGCCUGCGGGUUGUAAAGCAC
rnacentral:rRNA from 1 species